rnacentral:rRNA from 1 species
GUAGUUGAUCAUGGCUCAGGACGACGCUGGCGGCUGCCUAACACAUGCAAGUCGAGCGGGGAGGAGGAAGCUUGCUUCCGAAUCCUAGCGGCGGACGGGUGAGUAACGCGUGAGCAACCUGCCUCAAACAGGGGGAUAACGCAUCGAAAGAUGUGCUAAUACCGCGUAAGACCACGGUACCGCAUGGUACAGAGGUCAAAGGAGCAAUCCGGUUUGAGAUGGGCUCGCGUCCGAUUAGCUAGUUGGUGAGAUAACGGCCCACCAAGGCGACGAUCGGUAGCCGACCUGAGAGGGUGAUCGGCCACAUUGGAACUGAGAAACGGUCCAGACUCCUACGGGAGGCAGCAGUGGGGAAUAUUGGGCAAUGGGCGAAAGCCUGACCCAGCAACGCCGCGUGAGGGAAGAAGGGUUUCGGCUCGUAAACCUCUGUCCUAUGGGACGAAGAAGUGACGGUACCAUAGGAGGAAGCCCCGGCUAACUACGUG